UGUAUCUGAAGUCUGACGAGGAUGAGAACCUCCGGGGGCAAGAGGUUCGACCCGAGCGAAGCGAGAGAACGUUGCGUCAGCAACGGCCCGCAGGGCGAGUCAUCCUCUAUCACCGGCAG
rnacentral:sRNA from 2 species